rnacentral:rRNA from 1 species
GAGAUGGAUUCUGAGACACGAAUCCAGGCCCUACGGGGCGCAGCAGGCGCGAAAACUUUACAAUGCGAGAAAUCGUGAUAAGGGAACCCCGAGUGCCCGUAAAUUCGGGCUGUCCGCCAGUGUAAAUAACUGGUGAAGAAAGGGCCGGGCAAGACCGGUGCCAGCCGCCGCGGUAAUACCGGCGGCUCGAGUGGUGGCCACUAUUACUGGGCUUAAAGCGUCCGUAGCUGGAUUGUUAAGUCUCUUGGGAAAUCCACCGGCUCAACCGAUGGGCGUUCAGGAGAAACUGGCAAUCUAGGGACCGGGAGAGGUGAGAGGUACUCCAGGGGUAGGAGUGAAAUCCUGUAAUCCUUGGGGGACCACCUGUGGCGAAGGCGUCUCACUAGAACGGCUCCGACAGUGAGGGACGAAAGCUGGGGGAGCAAACCGGAUUAGAUACCCGGGUAGUCCCAGCUGUAAACGAUGCGCGUUAGGUGUAUCGGUGACCACGAGUCAUCGAGGUGCCGAAGGGAAACCGUGAAACGUG